rnacentral:rRNA from 2 species
UCUGGUGUCAGCCGCCGCGGUAAAACCAGCACCUCAAGUGGUCAGGAUGAUUAUUGGGCCUAAAGCAUCCGUAGCCUGCUUUGUUAGUUUUCGGUUAAAUCCAUACGCUCAACGUAUGGGCUGCCGGGAAUACCGCAAAGCUAGGGAGUGGGAGAGGUAGACGGUACUCGGUAGGAAGGGGUAAAAUCCUUUGAUCUAUUGAUGACCACCUGUGGCGAAGGCGGUCUACCAGAACACGUCCGACGGUGAGGGAUGAAAGCUGGGGGAGCAAACCGGAUUAGAUACCCGGGUAGUCCCAGCUGUAAACUAUGCAAACUCGGUGAUGCAUUGGCUUGAUGCCAAUGCAGUGCCGCAGGGAAGCCGUUAAGUUUGCCGCCUGGGAAGUACGUACGCAAGUAUGAAACUUAAAGGAAUUGGCGGGGGAGCACCACAAGGGGUGAAGCCUGCGGUUCAAUUGGAGUCAACGCCAGAAAUCUUACCCGGAGAGACAGCAGAAUGAAGGUCAAGCUGAAGACUUUACCAGACAAGCU